ACAAUUUGUAGUCCGGGAAAUCUCUGCAGCCCCACAAGACUUUAUUUUAGAAUGGUUUGACACAUGUUUGGCCUUUAACAAACAUUGCAGCCCCCCUGCAAUUUGAAUAUUGCAGUAGUUCAUUUUGCGAUUUUGAUAAAAUUGCGAUUAAUUGUGCAGCUUUAUUAGCCUUACAUCGUUCAG